rnacentral:rRNA from 1 species
GAUGAACGCUGGCGGCGUGCCUAAUACAUGCAAGUAGAACGCUGAAGGAAGGAGCUUGCUCUUUCCGGAUGAGUUGCGAACGGGUGAGUAACGCGUAGGUAACCUGCCUGGUAGCGGGGGAUAACUAUUGGAAACGAUAGCUAAUACCGCAUAACAGUAGAUGUUGCAUGAUAUCUACUUAAAAGGUGCAAUUGCACCACUACCAGAUGGACCUGCGUUGUAUUAGCUAGUUGGUGAGGUAACGGCUCACCAAGGCGACGAUACAUAGCCGACCUGAGAGGGUGAGCGGCCACACUGGGACUGGGACACGGCCCAGACGCCUACGGGAGGCAGCAGUAGGGAAUCUUCGGCAAUGGACGGAAGUCUGACCGAGCAACGCCGCGUGAGUGAAGAAGGUUGUCGGAUCGUAAAGCUCUGUUGUAAGAGAAGAACGAGUGUGAGAGUGGAAAGUUCACACUGUGACGGUAUCUUACCAGAAAGGGACGGCUAACUACGUG